UUAUAAUGAUUCUGAAUAUAUAAUAACAUUGUAGUUUAAUACGACAAACUGUGAGCUAUGACAAAACAGAAACUACAAGCCCCAGUGUGCAACAUAGGGAUUUCUAUAGUUUCGAUUGUGAAGAACGAAGAAGGCGGGGUAAAGCAUUUGUCAGAGCAACAUGGCGAGCGGGGUUGGCAAGCACAAGCUGCUGUCUCUCGGCCCAACAGAACCCUGGUCGGUGCGAGAGAAGCUUUGCUUGGCCUCCUCCGUCAUGAAAAGCGGAGACCAAAACUGGGUGUCGGUCAGUAGGGCCAUUAAGCCCUUUGCCGAACCGGGUCGGCCCCCGGACUGGUUCUCACAGAAGCACUGUGCCUCCCAAUACAGUGAGCUCCUGGAGACCACAGAGACGCCUAAGCGGAAGCGGGGGGAGAAGGGCGAGGUGGUGGAGACGGUGGAGGACGUGAUCGUGCGCAGACUCACGGCAGAGAGGAUCGAUGAGCUGAAGAGGCUGAUCAAAGAGACCCAGGAGAAACACAGGAAGUUGAAGAAGGAGGCGGAGCUGAUCCAGGCCGGCCAUCUGGACUCAAAGCUUGACGAGCUGUGGGGGGAGAUCGUACAAAAGAAGAAAACGGAAGAGGAGGAGGCGGAGCUUAAGAAGAAAGCCACCGAUGCGGCCUAUCAAGCACGGCAGGCGGUGAAGAACACCCCCAAACGGGUCCCCAGCGUGACGGUACGGUCCCCUCCGGGGGCCAGCUCCCCCAGCUUGGAGUUCCCCCUGGUGGACCCGCCCCAGCCCGUUCCCGAGGACCCAGGUGCCACACCCGCGGCUCCAGGACCGGCAGUGUUCAUGCCCCUGCCGGAGGUGGCCACGGGCCCUGGCUCGGGGGAGACGGGCCUGGGGGCGCUCCUGGACGACUCCCCCCAGAAGAAGCUCCUGGGGCAGAAGGCCACGCCCCCACCCUCCCCUCUGCUCUCCGAACUGCUGAAGAAGGGCAGCCUGCUGCCCACCAGCCCCCGACUGGUGGGAGAAGGAGACAUCCCCGUGGGUCACGUGACCGGAGUGCUUGGACCUGACCUUCAGCUCGUGGCCUCUGCCAUGUCUGUUUCCCAAGCAACAGGUGCUCCCACGCUGUCUCGCCUGCUGGAGGCUGGCCCCGCCCAGUUCCCCUCCCCCCUGGGCUCGCUGGCCGCCGCCGACCCGCCCAACACCCCCCCCACUGCUGCCACGCUCCCCACACAGGACACCCCCUCCUCGCUCAAUACAGGCGCGGACGCCCGGUUGGCUCCCGUGGGGAGCCCCCCGGCGGGUGAGGGGAAGGCGGGCGAGCUGGGCGAGGAAGACCUGGUCACCGUGUCCUACAUGGGUGACGAGCUGGACCUGGAGACCGUGGGAGACAUCAUCGCCAUCAUAGAGGAGAAGGUGGAUGACAACGCGGAGGCCCUGGACGCUGCUGCCGUGGAGGCGGCCCUGUCUCUGUGUGAGGAGGCGGUGGACAGCCACACCCUCCCGGGCCCCUGGGAGCCGGGGCCCUUCAAACCGCCCGAGUCCGGCCCCUCCUCCGCCAACUGCGGCCUCGACCUGAAGCACGAAGCCAGAGGCUCCGCCCCCCUGGUAUCUGGCCCCGCCCACCACGACAGCGCACCCAUUCACCCCCACACCACGCCUGCUCCUUCCUCCUCUUUCGGCCUGGACCCCGUCCACGCCCCGGGGGCGCGCCUCGACCCCAACCUGCAGGGCGGGGCCAGCAGGGAGGAGGGGCAGAGGGAGGGAAGCCCCGCCUCCUCCCUCAUCAGCAUCAAGUGUGAGAGCGAGGAGUGGGCCGGAGGUGACACGCCUUGCCCAGAAUCCGUGACAGAGGAUGGCUUGGCAUCAGGGCAGCACUCCAAGGUGAAGGAGGAGGACGGAGGGAGCGACGGGGAGGACGGGAGCAUGUCUGAGAUGAAGGGGUGCGGAGAGGGGGACGGCGGGGAGGAGUGUGGGGGGGACGGGGAGGGGCCUGAGGCCUACCUGUCGGAGGCGGAGCUGGAGCCGCCGGCCAGUGAGAGCGAGGACGGGUACAGCCUCCACACCGCCUCCUCCCUGCAGAUGCACAACACUGCCGACUCCAUCCCCAGCAGCCCCGCCUCCUCACAGUUUUCCAUGAGCAGUGAAGACCAGGAGGCAAUCCAGGCGCAGAAAAUCUGGAAGAAGGCCAUCAUGCUUGUGUGGCGAGCUGCGGCCAAUCACAGGUAUGCCAACGUGUUCCUGCAGCCAGUGACAGACGACAUUGCACCCGGGUACCACAGCAUCGUCCACAGGCCCAUGGACCUGUCCACCAUUAAGAAGAACAUCGAGACGGGUCUGAUCCGCUCCACGGCGGAGUUCCAGCGCGACAUCAUGCUGAUGUUCCAGAACGCGGUCAUGUACAACAGCUCGGACCACGACGUGUACCACAUGGCCCUGGAGAUGCAGCGCGACGUCCUGGAGCAGAUCCAGCAGUUCCUGGCCACCCAGCUCAUCAUGCAGACGUCCGAGUCCGGCAUCAGCGCCAAGAGCCUGCGUGGACGAGAGUCCGCUCGCAAGCAGGACUCUACCGACAAGGUGAGAGAGAGAGAGAGUCCACCUGCAAGUAGGACUCUACCGACAAGGUGAGAGAGAGAGAGAGAGAGAGAGUCCACCUGCAAGUAGGACUCUACCGACAAGGUGAGAGAGAGAGAGAGAGAGAGUCCACCUGCAAGUAGGACUCUACCGACAAGGUGAGAGAGAGAGAGAGAGAGAGAGUCCACCUGCAAGUAGGACUCUACCGACAAGGUGAGAGAGAGAGAGAGAGAGAGAGAGAGUCCACCUGCAAGUAGGACUCUACCGACAAGGUGAGAGAGAGAGAGAGAGAAAGGGAGUCCACCUGCAAGUAGGACUCUACCGACAAGGUGAGAGAGAGAGAGAGAGAGUCCGCCCGCAAGCAGGACUCCACCGACAAAGUGAGAGAGAGAGAGAGAGAGAGAGAGAGUCCACCUGCAAGCAGGACUCCACCGACAAGGUGAGAGAGAGAGAGAGAGAGAGAGAGUCCACCUGCAAGUAGGACUCUACCGACAAGGAUGGGGGCAGCAGGGGGCGCCGCUGUGCCAUUGAAGCAGACCUGAAGAUGAAGAAGUGAACUGCAGGGAGGGAUAAAAACUGUGCCGUGUAAACGUCCGUAAAGGGAUUUUUAAAAAACGUCCGUUUCAUUUGCGGUGACCGAGGCUCACUGACGCAAAAAAAAAGAAACCGGGCCACUUUUAUUGCUGGGCCUCCGUUAUGUCCCAGCUUUUCAUUGGUCUAAGGAGAAGUGAUGUCACAAUGGCGAGCUAGACUGAAGUGGAGGGGGAGGGCGGGACCAGUCUGCGCUGUGUAUCGUCUCUGUAGGGAAAGUACGGACAGGGAAGAAACACCAUUCUGUGCGUGCGUUCGUUUUAACUCAACAAAUACAGAAACGGAAAGGCAAAAACAUUACUGUGUGUAUCCGUUCCAUGUUGUCGUAUUAACAGCGUGUAGUUUUGUAGUCACAUCUCCCCUUGUACAUAUAUACUGCUAUGUUGCCUGCUUGUGUGUGUUUUUUAACUGUGAAUGUGCCUAAAAAAAUAAAUAUGAUCAAGAAAAAA